rnacentral:rRNA from 1 species
ACGUACACUCCUGCGGGAGGCAGCAGUGGGGAAUAUUGGACAAUGGGCGCAAGCCUGAUCCAGCCAUGCCGCGUGAGUGAUGAAGGCCCUAGGGUUGUAAAGCUCUUUCACCGGUGAAGAUAAUGACGGUAACCGGAGAAGAAGCCCCGGCUAACUUCGUGCCAGCAGCCGCGGUAAUACGAAGGGGGCUAGCGUUGUUCGGAUUUACUGGGCGUAAAGCGCACGUAGGCGGACUAUUAAGUCAGGGGUGAAAUCCCGGGGCUCAACCCCGGAACUGCCUUUGAUACUGGUAGUCUUGAGUUCGAGAGAGGUGAGUGGAAUUCCGAGUGUAGAGGUGAAAUUCGUAGAUAUUCGGAGGAACACCAGUGGCGAAGGCGGCUCACUGGCUCGAUACUGACGCUGAGGUGCGAAAGCGUGGGGAGCAAACAGGAUUAGAUACCCGAGUAGUCCCAUGA